GAUAUGAAUUCACUAUAAACCGAUGACAGCCGUACCCAAUUACCAGAAACAAGGUGUUUCCUGUUCAGCUAGUAACAAUGUAUAACCCUUAUUCCUGAUGUACAUUCAAACCGUGCCUGGCAUUGCUGGUGAAGACCUGGCUUUCCUACUCCCAGUGCCCAGCCUGAAGGCACAGGUUAGCUGUCAGUGAGGAGGAUCAGGAAGCUGUG